rfam:Cecembia lonarensis LW9 contig000012, whole genome shotgun sequence.
GGUCGCGUGGCCGAGCGGUUAGGCAGAGGUCUGCAAAACCUUGUACAGCGGUUCGAAUCCGCUCGCGACCU